rnacentral:rRNA from 1 species
GACGGAGGAUGCAAGCGUUAUCCGGAAUGAUUGGGCGUAAAGCGUCCGCAGGUGGCAGUUCAAGUCUGCUGUCAAAGACCGGGGCUUAACUUCGGAAAGGCAGUGGAAACUGAACAGCUAGAGUAUGGUAGGGGCAGAGGGAAUUCCUGGUGUAGCGGUGAAAUGCGUAGAGAUCAGGAAGAACAUCGGUGGCGAAGGCGGCCUGCUGGGCAGUGGCUGACACUGAGGCGUGACAGCGUGGGGAGCAAACAGG